AGACGUAGGGCGCAAGCGUUGUCCGGAUUUAUUGGGCGUAAAGAGCUCGUAGGCGGCCUGUCGCGUCGACUGUGAAAACCCGCGGCUUAACCACGGGACUGCAGUCGAUACGGGCAGGCUAGAGUGCGGUAGGGGAGACUGGAAUUCCUGGUGUAGCGGUGAAAUGCGCAGAUAUCAGGAGGAACACCGGUGGCGAAGGCGGGUCUCUGGGCCGACACUGACGCUGAGGAGCGAAAGCGUGGGGAGCGAACAGGAUUAGAUACCCUGGUAGUCCACGCCGUAAACGUUGGGCGCUAGGUGUGGGGGACCUCUCCGGUCCUCUGUGCCGUAGCUAACGCAUUAAGCGCCCCGCCUGGGGAGUACGGCCGCAAGGCUAAA
rnacentral:rRNA from 1 species